rnacentral:tRNA from 1 species
UUAGUUAAAGCCAAAACAAUUAGGCUUGUUAUUGUUAAUAAUAAAAAUGGUUAACAAAACCUAACUAAA